AACGAACGCUGGCGGCAGGCCUAACACAUGCAAGUCGAGCGGACCUUUCGGGGUCAGCGGCGGACGGGUGAGUAACGCGUGGGAAUAUGCCCUUCUCAACGGGAUAGUCCUGGGAAACUGGGGGUAAUACCGUCUACGCCCUUUGGGGGAAAGCUUUAUCGGUGAAGGAUUAGCCCGCGUUGGAUUAGGUCGUUGGUGGCGUGAUGGCCUACCAACCCGACGAUCCAUAGCGGGUUCGAGCACAUGAUCAGCCACUCUGAGACUGAGACACGGCCCAGACUCCUACGCGAGGCAGAGGUGAGGAAUCUUAGACACCGGGGUCAACCCUGAGCUAGCCAUGCCUCGAGAGUGAUGAAGGCCUUAGAUGUGUAAAGCUCAAGCAUCUGGGAAGAUAAUGGCGGUACCAGCAGAAGAAUGCCCUGCUAACUCCGUG
rnacentral:rRNA from 1 species